ensembl:lncRNA
CCUAUUUUCUGAGUGAGGAAGUUAAGAUGGAGUCAGCAGCUUACCCAAGUUUACAUAGCUGGUAAAGAACAGAUCCAAAGUUUUAACCCAGAGAGUCUUAGCCCGGAGUUCACGUCCUUAAUGAUCACUGCCCUAAAAUCUUAGAACAGGGUAAUGUCAAUGAAAACAGCAGGCAGAUCCUAAGGACUGAGAAGUAAACCAGUUCCAGGUCAGAGUGAAGUUUUUGAUGUUCAAAUCUGAGCUGAGCAUCGAAUCAGCCUUCUCCUUCUCCAGACUCUCAACACCAAUAACAAAGUUUGCUGGGAAGUUUCUAUGUUCCAGUCAAUGCAAUCGGCAGAUGUUUUGAUCCCAGUGGAUUAUGUUUUCAUCUACUUCCACAGCUGUAUUUCACAUGGCAGAGCUAAACCCAGCCCGGGAUAAUUCUUGGAACAGACUGGUCAGCUGUAAAAAAUGCUACAUGAAGACUCCUGUAUAUACUGGGCUGUUGAUUAUUUUAGUUUCUGUGGAUUUCAAGGAAGAUGCCUUGUUUUAUUCUGAGGAAAAGUGGUAUGCUAGGUAACUGUAACAAUUACAACAACAAAUAUUUUAAUAAGUACUGGAUACCGUUAGAAGGCUUCAUGUGCAUCAACCCAUUUUAUCCACCCAAGAACUUCCAGAUAGGCAUCAUGGCUCUACAUUAUAGAUGGGAAAACUGAGGCCCAGUGAGUCAGUGAGGAUGAAUCGAAAUAAAUGGAAAAGAAAAGGUGAUCAGCACUGAUCUUGGGGACAGUGCUCAAUAAAUGUUUUCCCUCUCUCUUUCCUUCAUCCUUUUCUUCUUCCUUAACUUCCAAAUCCUCAAAAAUACUUUUCUUCAAGCCUGAAAAUCCACCCUAAAUAUGAAGAAUGGAGCACAAGGCACUACUUUCAGAAUUUUGUCACUUUCGCUAAAAACACAAAAUAUGCAAUAAAAGUU